rnacentral:rRNA from 1 species
AGCGUGGACGGCACAGCAAGUCUGAAGUGAAAUCCCCGGGCUCAACCCGGGAACUGCUUUGGAAACUGUUGGGCUGGAGUGCUGGAGAGGCAAGCGGAAUUCCUAGUGUAGCGGUGAAAUGCGUAGAUAUUAGGAGGAACACCAGUGGCGAAGGCGGCUUGCUGGACAGUAACUGACGUUGAGGCUCGAAAGCGUGGGGAGCAAACA